ACGAACGCUGGCGGCGUGCUUAACACAUGCACGUCGCACGCUGAAGCUCAGCUUUUGUUGGGUGGAUGAGUGGCGAACGGGUGAGUAACACGUGAGUAACCUGCCUCCUUCUUUGGGAUAACGCCCGGAAACGGGUGCUAAUACUGGAUAUUCACUGGUCUUCGCAUGGGGGUUGGUGGAAAGGGUUUUUCUGGUGGGGGAUGGGCUCGCGGCCUAUCAGCUUGUUGGUGGGGUGAUGGCCUACCAAGGCUUUGACGGGUAGCCGGCCUGAGAGGGUGACCGGUCACAUUGGGACUGAGAUACGGCCCAGACUCCUACGGGAGGCAGCAGUGGGGAAUAUUGCACAAUGGGCGCAAGCCUGAUGCAGCGACGCCGCGUGAGGGAUGGAGGCCUUCGGGUUGUGAACCUCUUUCGCUCAUGGUCAAGCCGCAACAAUGGUUGUGGUGAGGGUAGUGGGUAAAGAAGCGCCGGCUAACUACGUG
rnacentral:rRNA from 1 species